AUGGACAGACUGAACCUCAGGGACUUGGUGUCCAUCUCAAUGGAUGGGCCCAGUGUGAAUUGGAAACUCUUUGACCUUUUCCAGAAAGAUCACGCUGAGCAGUAUGGAGGUGCUCAGUUCAUUUGUGUGGGGAAAGGGCUGGUUCAGAGGUUUCUCCAGGACAAACUGCUAACUGAUACUUCUGCGGGUAGGAAUAAGAAAGGGGAUAUCAUACUGCAGCACUUCGACAGUUUCCUAUCCUUGGAGAGCCGGAGUGAGGACUUCCUCUCUUUUCCUCCCAUGCAGAAGAGGCUGGACAUCUUCCUGAGGAGUGCCAUGGAACCUUAUCCAGAGCUGUGGGGCUUCUGCAAGAAGCUGCUCAUCCUUUCCCACGGCCAAGCUACAGUUGAACGUGGAUUCUCUAUCAACAAAGAGAUGGAGUCAGACAAUAUUCAAGAGGACAAUGUGGUCACACGGAGGCUGGUGUGUGAUUAUAUCACACAACACGGAGGUUUUACCCAGGUUCCACUCAGUAAAGCGCUAUUCGAGAGUGUAGCAAGAGCUAGGACCAGAUAUCGUGCCCAUCUUGAGACAGAGAGAAAGAAAAGGGAGGCAAAAUCCUAG
ensembl:lncRNA